UCUUGGUCAUUUAGAGGAAGUAAAAGUCGUAACAAGGUUUCCGUAGGUGAACCUGCGGAAGGAUCAUUACAGAAAGUAAACGCGGAUCAAACCGCGAACUUCUAAACCUUUGACGAUUGACUCAUGUUGCCUCGGCGGGUUCUCCCGCCAGAGGAUACAUCAAAACUCCUGUUUUAACGGUGUUGUCUGAGCUGCAAGCAACGAAUCAAAACUUUCAACAACGGAUCUCUUGGUUCUGGCAUCGAUGAAGAACGCAGCGAAAUGCGAUAAGUAGUGUGAAUUGCAGAAUUCAGUGAAUCAUCGAAUCUUUGAACGCACAUUGCGCCCCUUGGUAUCCCGAGGGGCAUGCCUGUUCGAGCGUCAUUUCACCACUCAAGCCCGGCUUGGUGUUGGGCGACGUCUCCUUUAGGGACGCGCCUCGAAACGCUCGGCGGCGUGGCACCGGCUUUAAGCGUAGCAGAAUCUUUCGCUUUGAAAGUCGGGGCCUCGUCUGCCGGAAGACCUACUCGCAAGGUUGACCUCGGAUCAGGCAGGGAUACCCGCUGAACUUAAGCAUAUCAAUAA
rnacentral:misc_RNA from 1 species